rnacentral:rRNA from 1 species
CCUACGGGGCGCAGCAGUAGGGAAUUUUCGUCAAUGGGCGCAAGCCUGAACGAGCAAUGCCGCGUGAACGAGGAAGGUCUUCGGAUCGCAAAGUUCUGUUGAAGGGGAACAAGAGCGGAGAGAGGAAAUGCUUUCUGAUUGAUAUUACCCUUCGAGGACGUCACGGCUAAAUACGUGCCAGCAGCUGCGGUAAUACGUCGGUGGCGAGCGUUAUCCGGAAUGAUGGGGCGUAAGGGGUGCGUAGUAGGCCUGCUAAGUCUGGGGUGAAAGGUACCGGUUAAACCGGUAAAGGCUCGGGAGACUGGGGGGCUAGGGGGCAGGAGAGGGCGGUGGAACUGCAGGUGUAGCGGUAAAAUGCGUAGAGAUAUGGAAGAACACCAGUGGCGAAGGCGGCCGCCUGGCCUGUUACUGACGCUGAGGCACGAAAGCGUGGGGAGCAAAUAGGAUUAGAUACCCCAGUAGUC